rnacentral:rRNA from 1 species
AACGAACGCUGGCGGCAGGCUUAACACAUGCAAGUCGAGCGCCCCGCAAGGGGAGCGGCAGACGGGUGAGUAACGCGUGGGAAUCUACCCAUCACUACGGAAUAACGCAUGGAAACGUGUGCUAAUACCGUAUACGUCCUUCGGGAGAAAGAUUUAUCGGAGAUGGAUGAGCCCGCGUUGGAUUAGCUAGUUGGUGGGGUAAAGGCCUACCAAGGCGACGAUCCAUAGCUGGUCUGAGAGGAUGAUCAGCCACACUGGGACUGAGACACGGCCCAGACUCCUACGGGAGGCAGCAGUGGGGAAUAUUGGACAAUGGGCGCAAGCCUGAUCCAGCCAUGCCGCGUGAGUGAUGAAGGCCCUAGGGUUGUAAAGCUCUUUCACCGGUGAAGAUAACGACGGUAACCGGAGAAGAAGCCCCGGCUAACUUCGUGCCAGCCGCCGCUGUAAAAC